UGUAUCUUUGUAGGUCUGGUGAGGAAUGCUGCACUUAUGUUAUUACAAGCAUUAUUUCAAGAAAAUCCCAGCUUCCUUUACUGUGUAAAUAGUGAACCCAAAGGUCCCACACCAACCAUAGUGUUCAACGGCUCUCCUGAUCUUCUCAAAUCUGAAAGUAUCAACUUUAUAAUGGACAAUGUGAACUUAAUAUGUGGAAGACAUUGACAUCACAGGCUGUGGAAUGACUGUGUCACAGGUCGGAGAAGCGGACCGCCCCUGUCGCGGAUCACGCUCCUCCUAGUUCCACCUCGAGAAGGUCCCAAAGCACCCCAAUGACCAGACAAACCAGAGAUAAGUAAAAUAUAGAAAUAGAAACUUUAUUUAAAUUAUUUAAAACUAAAGUGGGGAAUGGGAAAGGGAAUCUAAAAAUCUCGCUUCUCGCCCUCAGGGGGAGUAUUACGGGGCCAGGGACGUUGGAGGGGUUUCCACGUGACUCCAGCUGGAACACCGCUACAGAGCGUAUCUGGGUGGGUUGGGCACACACCGUCGCGGCGGCCCCUGAUGGCAUCCACAAAGGUCCAAGACCCUCCUAAGCUCCUAGCCAUAGCAGAACUACGUAUUUCAGCACCCGAAGGACUAACAACCCAGCCGGCAUCUGCAGCGUAUAUCCAACGCGAUCAAACUUCACUCUGACAAGUAACUUCCUAUACACAACCACGCCGUCCUUUCGCCCGGACCAGCCCCGCACUCUUUCCGCCCGCUACC